AAAGGAACUAAGGGCGCACAGUGGAUGCCUUGGCACUAAGAGCCGAUGAAGGAAGGGCGAAUUCGGAGCCUG
rnacentral:rRNA from 1 species